rnacentral:lncRNA from 1 species
GUGAACAUUAAACUCUCAUUGUGAUAGAGCACAGAGAUUUCAAGGUUUGUUAUAGUAGUCCAGCCUACUAUAAUCUGGUAUUUAUUGAUGAUACAGAGAUGAAGAGCUGUUAGUUUUAGAGAAUAUAAGUUUUUUAAACAAAGAAUUCUAACACAAUAUGACAAAUGCUAUAUAAAAGUACAUACCAACAUCUAUGGCAAAUGAUGGAGAGAGACCAAUUCUGCUUUGUAAACUUGGGGAGUAUGUCACUGAUGGGAAUAUAUGUAUUAUCUGGAUCCUGGGAGGAUCAGAUGAAAGUAAGAGGCAUUUUUGUUUGUAUAAACAGCAUGAGGAAAUGCAUGGAAAGCUAAAAAGCAUGCUGUAUUCCUUCCUGGAGAUUUGUGAAGUUUUAUGUGGCUAGAAUACAACUUGCAUAAGGAGAAUGGUAAGAGAGAAGUCUAAUAAAAUAGAUUGAUAGCCAAAAUUGAAGCACCUCAUAUGCUAUGAAAAAGAAUUAGAACUUGGUUUUAUGAUCAAUGGGGAACCAUCUCUUAAGAAUUGAAGGGAGAAGAAACUGGAAGCAGAAGAAUCAUUUGAAGGCAUUGCGAUUAUCUUGAUAAAAAAAAUAAUGAGGAUCAGAACUAAGAUAUUGUUAAUGGGAAUUAAGAGGAGGUAGAUUGUCAAUGGGAAUUAAGAGGAGGUAGAUUCUUAAAAUUAAUACUGUUGUGGAAGCAAAGAGAAUGACAUUUGGACUAUUUCUUUGGUUGAAUGCCACCCAAUAUUAGAAAAGUAUUACAUAGAUCAAAUCCAAAUGAAUCUUCUGUGUUUUCAGGUCUCUCUCUAUAGUCCAUGUUUUUUGUUAAAAUAUUAAUUUUUUAUUUCUCUCUCUAACUUCUCAGAACUUCCAAAAACCUUGUUCUACUUACAAUGUGCUCAUGAAUAAUAUUGUAUUAAUGAAAGAAAGUUACCAUGCUCUAAUUGUUCAUUCUUUAUACAUUCUUCCCCAAUUUAUCAGUUUCUUUGUUUUCUGUUUUAAAUGGAAGAAAAGCAAUUUAGUUCCACAAAUACUUAUUGGGUUCCUAUUAUGUUCUCAGCAUAGUAGAGGCAAUAAUGAUUAAGAGAGAAUAAACCUCGAUCUUAGUCAUUAAGGAAUUACAGAGACAGUGAGCUGAGAAGGAUGAGACAACUCCAAAUGACUACAAUGCAGUUUUAAGUAAUAACUGAAAUGAGGUAUUAUGAUGGUUCAAAGCACCAAGAGAGUUCAAAUGAGUGAUAUCAUAGAUUAGGAAUGGUACGUAUGGUUCUGUGUAGACCACACAACAUGGUAUGGGUUUCAAUAACAGGAUGCUGCUGCUGAUGAUAAUGGUAAUGAAGGACAAGUUCCUUUUAGCAUCUACAAUUAUAUUAGUUGCUGUUGACAUGUCUAUGGGCACAUGGCCAGGCAAGCUAUUCAUCCACAUUCAUGCCUGGUCUCCUGCAUUAAUGAUUCCAAUCACUAAUUAUGUAAUAAGAAUAAUGAGAACUGUUAGCCAAAAAGUCAAUUUCCAUUGUUUGUUUUGCUUCUUUAGGGGAAUAAAGGCUGUUUUAGAAAACCUCCUUUGAAUUUACAGAAUAAAGCAAACACACAGGAGGAAAAGUAUCGCCAAGGAUUAAGGAAGCUUAUGCAUCAGGAUCAGAGUAGGAAACACCCAGAAGCUUAGCAAAAGAAUAAAAGAGCAGUUUCUUCACUUCUGCCCCUGAAAAUACACUCACAAACUGAAUCACAGUGGGAAAGAUAGGCUAUUAUAUGACAAGGGGGAGGUAGGAAAAAAAAAAAAGCAGCAAGCAGGAUUUUAGUUUGGUUUUUAGAGGAUUAAAUAAGGUUUAUGCCAGGAACAUGAUGAAGUGAAUUUCUCAAAGGGGUAAAAUUUUGGCAGAAAAUCAGAAUCAUGUAUUUAGAAAUGAGUGCUGUUCUUUAACUGUAACAAUAAAAACUCUAAAUUAUUCAGCCUGGAAAUGAAUUCUGGAAAGAAUAUAGCAGAUGUAUUCAUUCAUUCACUUAUUCUUCAAACAUAUAUUGAAUGUCUAUUAUAGACCUGACACUG